GAUGAACGCUAGCGGCAGGCUUAAUACAUGCAAGUCGAGGGGCAGCAUAAGUAGCAAUACUUGAUGGCGACCGGCAAACGGGUGCGGAACACGUACGCAACCUUCCUUUAAGCGGGGAAUAGCCCGGGGAAACCCGGAUUAAUACCCCAUAAUAUAUUGAGAAAGCAUUUUCUUUUAUUAAAGUAUUAUCACUUAAAGAUGGCGUGCGCCUGAUUAGGUAGUUGGCGGAGUAAUAGCCACCAAGCCNGCGAUCAGUAACUGGUGUGAGAGCACGACCAGUCACACGGGCACUGAGACACGGGCCCGACUCCUACGGGAGGCAGCAGUAA
rnacentral:rRNA from 1 species